GUGAACGCUGGCGGUAGGCCUAACACAUGCAAGUCGAACGGCAGCACAGUAAGAGCUUGCUCUUACGGGUGGCGAGUGGCGGACGGGUGAGGAAUACAUCGGAAUCUACUUUUUCGUGGGGGAUAACGUAGGGAAACUUACGCUAAUACCGCAUACGACCUACGGGUGAAAGCAGGGGAUCUUCGGACCUUGCGCGAUUGAAUGAGCCGAUGUCGGAUUAGCUAGUUGGCGGGGUAAAGGCCCACCAAGGCGACGAUCCGUAGCUGGUCUGAGAGGAUGAUCAGCCACACUGGAACUGAGACACGGUCCAGACUCCUACGGGAGGCAGCAGUGGGGAAUAUUGGACAAUGGGCGCAAGCCUGAUCCAGCCAUACCGCGUGGGUGAAGAUGGCCUUCGGGUUGUAAAGCCCUUUUGUUGGGAAAGAAAAGCAGCAGGUUAAUACCCCGCUGUUCUGACGGUACCCAAAGAAUAAGCACCGGCUAACUUCGUG
rnacentral:rRNA from 1 species